rnacentral:rRNA from 1 species
GACGAACGCUGGCGGCGUGCUUAACACAUGCAAGUCGAACGAGAGCGUAGAGAAAGCUGCUUUUUCUACAAUCUAGUGGCAAACGGGUGAGUAACGCGUAAACAACCUGCCCUACGGAUGGGGACAACAGCUGGAAACGGCUGCUAAUACCGAAUACGUUCCGAAAGUCGCAUGACUAUCGGAAGAAAGGAUGGCCUCUAUUUAUAAGCUAUCGCCGGAGGAGGGGUUUGCGUCUGAUUAGCUAGUUGGAGGGGUAACGGCCCACCAAGGCGACGAUCAGUAGCCGGUCUGAGAGGAUGAACGGCCACAUUGGAACUGAGACACGGUCCAGACUCCUACGGGAGGCAGCAGUGGGGAAUCUUCCGCAAUGGGCGAAAGCCUGACGGAGCAACGCCGCGUGAGUGAAGACGGCCUUCGGGUUGUAAAGCUCUGUUAUACGGGACGAAUAAUCUUGUGGUUAAUACCCAUGAGAAGUGACGGUACCGUAAGAGAAAGCCACGGCUAACUACGUG